UUGUCUCUUCUUUGAGCUUUAAAGCUCAACGUGGGUUAGCUUCUGCUGUCUUAGGCCCGAGUCCUUCAAUAGGAUGCAUGUUGGCAGAUCUCUGCUCCAGUACAGAGCUUCAUUGGAAAAAAAUGGGGCUCUGAGCAGGCUCUCAGGAUUUUUCUGCUUGCAUCUCAUUGAAGGACUUGGAAAACACCUUCUGCGCUAUCCCUCAGUUGAAGGAGUUGAGAUGCUUUUGCUAAUAGUCUCCAGAUUUAAACAGUUAGGGGCAGGAAACUGAGCAUACCUGAUGUAAAUAGGCCUGAGCUUUGGAAUUCACUUUGCUGAUUUGUCCAAAAGAGCCCAGAUUUGUUGAUAUUAUGGGUACUUUGGGAAGCACAUCUGGCAUAUGAAAGGCAUUUUGUGAGCCAGUGGAGAAACUGAGGGUCAGAGAAGUGGCCGAAGCAGUGUAUGACGACGGUUAGCAAUCCUACUGCACCAUCUGCUGACAGCAGUACCCAGGACACAACAGUGGCAGUGGCGCUGAGCUGAGCUGAGCAGGCUGCAUGCUUGCUGUGGUAUGGCGUCUGCGCAGAAAAAAGGUCUAUGGGAGGCUUGAAGACCAUAUUCCCUUGCACCGGUGCCAUCAGAUCAGCCCCUCUCAAAGAAGCAUGUAGCUGAGCUGCAUAACUAGAAAUACCAUGUGAUUUUUGUAGUGUCAUCUCCCCUCUCCCUUUAAUAUCUGAAGGAAAUAUGGGAUUCAUGUUAAAAAAUAUAGUUGACUUUGCAGUUAUGAAGAACCUUAAAGUCAUUGUAAAAAUAUUGCAUUGGGGGUCUGCAGUUUUUAAAAGGGAUGUAGAAUCAGCUUUGAUCUUUAGAAAUGACUUGUAUUAAAAACAAAAACAUACAUUUUUAAAAAUUC